rnacentral:misc_RNA from 1 species
GAUGAAGAACGUAGCGAAAUGCGAUAAGUAAUGUGAAUUGCAGAGUUCAGUGAAUCAUCGAAUCUUUGAACGCACAUUGCGCCCGCCAGUAUUCUGGCGGGCAUGCCUGUUCGAGCGUCAUUUCAACCCUCAAGCCCCCGGGCUUGGUGUUGGGGCUCGGCCCGUCCCUCGUGGCGCGCCGUCCCCGAAAUCUAGUGGCGGUCACGCUGUACUCCUCUGCGUAGUAAUCUAACCUCGCAACGGGACAAAGCCUGGCCACGCCGUUAAACCCCCCACUUCUGAAGGUUGACCUCGGAUCAGGUAGGAAUACCCGCUGAACUUAAGCAUAUCAAUAAGCGGAGGA